UUUCACUUCCUAACCCUCGGGUGUGUUGGGUUUUGGCCUUCAACUGCAACUGAAGCCAGUCUCCUCUGUAAAGGAAGUCCAAACCCGAGAUUUGCAUAAGCAUGUACCAGAAAAUGUUAAUGGAGCUCUUCAUUUCUCUAUUAAGGUUGGUAGAAUUGUGGGCCAAUCUGUAAAACCAAGAUUAGUGCUAUUGCUAGGCCUUUGCUACCUAGCCUAUGCUACUAUGCAGAAGGUUGGAUUUCAUGGAGCACAGGAUUGCCAUUUCAUAUUCAGAUUCACUUUGGUUUUCUUUAUUUU